AUACGCCACUGGUUAGUCAGCGAGUGACUCGGGCUGCUGGUAGCAGCAACCCGAGUCACUCGCUGACCAGGGUUAGCGAACUAA
rnacentral:miRNA from 1 species